GACGUAGGAGGCGAGCGUUAUCCGGAUUCACUGGGCGUAAAGCGCAUGUAGGCGGUUCGUCAAGUCGUGUGUUAAAGCCCCUGGCUCAACUGGGGGAGGUCAUGCGAGACUGACAGACUUGAGGGCAGUAGAGGCACGUGGAACUCCCGGUGUAGCGGUGAAAUGCGCAGAUAUCAGGAGGAACACCAAUGGCGAAGGCAGCUCGCUGGGACGUGACUGACGCUGAGACGCGAAAGCGUGGGGAGCAAACAGG
rnacentral:rRNA from 1 species